rnacentral:rRNA from 1 species
AUGGCCGUCGUCAGUUCGUACUGUGAAGCAUCCUGUUAAGUCAGGCAACGAGCGAGACCCACGCCAACAGUUGCCAGCAUGUCCUCCGGGAUGAUGGGGACACUGUUGGGACCGCCUCUGCUAAAGAGGAGGAAGGAAUGGGCAACGGUAGGUCAGCAUGCCCCCGAAUUAUCCGGGCUACACGCGGGCUACAAUGGUCAGGACAAUGGGUAUCGACACCGAAAGGUGAAGGCAAUCUCCUAAACCCAUCCGUAGUUCGGAUUGUGGGCUGCAACUCGCCCACAUGAAGCUGGAAUCUGUAGUAAUCGUGUCUCGAAAUGGCACGGUGAAUAUGUCCCUGCUCCUU